rnacentral:misc_RNA from 1 species
GGAAUUUCCCAUUUUAAUUCUUCUUUAUAAGCUUGUAGCCUUGAGAGGCAUAUUUAGUUUCUGGAAAUAAAUUAUUAUUUUGGUUGUGCAACUUAGGUUCUACAUCAAUCUGUCAUUGUAUGAGCGGUUUCAUGUUUUCCUUUCUCCUUUGUUUUUUCUUUCUUUUAUUUGUAUAAAAUCUUUGAAGAUUCAUAAGUUUAAUGCUUUUCGGUUCAAUUGCCCCUUCUUUUAGAAUUUAAGUUUAUAAUUAUGAGACACUGUUCUUCAGUGUGCCUUUCAUUUUGCCUUUCAUGACAUUGUUUAUGUGCCUUACCAUGUAUCAUAAUUUGUUAAAUCACAUAGCAGGUAUGUGAGUGAUUUAAUAUGGA